GUAGGUGGCAAGCGUUGUCCGGAAUUAUUGGGCGCAAAGCGCGCGCAGGCGGGUCCUUUAAGUCUGAUGUGAAAGCCCACGGGCUCAACCGUGGAGGGUCAUUGGAAACUGGGGGACUUGAGUACAGAAGAGGAAAGCGGAAUUCCAAGUGUAGCGGUGAAAUGCGUAGAGAUUUGGAGGAACACCAGUGGCGAAGGCGGCUUUCUGGUCUGUAACUGACGCUGAGGCGCGAAAGCGUGGGGAGCAAACAGGAUUAGAUACCCUGGUAGUCCACGCCGUAAACGAUGAGUGCUAAGUGUUAGGGGGUUUCCGCCCCUUAGUGCUGCAGCUAACGCAUUAAGCACUCCGCCUGGGGAGUACGGCCGCAAAGGCUG
rnacentral:rRNA from 1 species